UACAGAGGUCCCAAGCGUUGUUCGGAUUCACUGGGCGUAAAGGGUGCGUAGGCGGUCGGGUAAGUCUGUCGUGAAAUCUCCGAGCCUAACUCGGAAACUGCGUCGGAUACUAUUCGGCUAGAGGAAUGGAGGGGAGACUGGAAUUCUCGGUGUAGCAGUGAAAUGCGUAGAUAUCGAGAGGAACACCAGUGGCGAAGGCGAGUCUCUGGACAUUUCCUGACGCUGAGGAGCGAAAGCGUGGGGAGCGAACAGG
rnacentral:rRNA from 1 species